GUACUGUACAAAACAAAACCUAUAUAAAUUACUCAUUAUGGCACCAUCGACACUCUAAAAUCAUAAUUUCAUCGAUCUGCUUGAUUCAUGGUUACCGGCCGAUCGCUCCUUCCUUGUAAGGUCACAUGGCACCACCGAAAGGGCAACUGUAGCUUUAGGGUAGACUAUUAACUUUCGGAGUGAAUGAGCUGUUUCUUUUUCUUUCUGCAUGAAUGCGAAUUUGAAAUUUGCAUCGAUCGGUGUGCAAUUUUCACAGUUUUACAGUGAUUUUCCAUUUCCAAUUCGUCAGUACACCAACUACUACUUUUUUUUUCUUAUUCCUGCGAAAUCUAGUACCAUAGAAAUUAAUCACACACCAAGACUUCAAGCUUGCGCGAUGCGGAGAGGGUAAUUUGGAAGGGUAGUUUGAAAGGGACUGGACAAGCAAUUAUAUUCUUAAAAGAAAAGAUCUUGGGGAGACAGAUCGAUGUCAUCCAACGUGUGUCCCAUGUGUAGAUGUUUACCAGGUUCCAGGUCUCCCCUUUUUUUUCGUUUAAUUCUUGACAUAAUUAAUCUGGGUACUGUAUCUCCUGGUGUUUCAGCGCAUGCAGGUUCAGGCAAAUUAAGUAGCAACAAUAAGCACGGAACAGAUGAUUAAGAAGUUGAACAGUAGUUGGGUUUGAGGAAUGUUACUUGAAUGUUAAGGGAGAGAAAUCAAACAUUUAUAUAUUUGAUUAUUUCUA